AACGAACGCUGGCGGCAUGCCUAACACAUGCAAGUCGAACGAGACCUUCGGGUCUAGUGGCGCACGGGUGCGUAACGCGUGGGAAUCUGCCCUUGGGUUCGGAAUAACAGUUAGAAAUGACUGCUAAUACCGGAUGAUGACGUAAGUCCAAAGAUUUAUCGCCCAAGGAUGAGCCCGCGUAGGAUUAGCUUGUUGGUGAGGUAAAAGCUCACCAAGGCGACGAUCCUUAGCUGGUCUGAGAGGAUGAUCAGCCACACUGGGACUGAGACACGGCCCAGACUCCAACGGGAGGCAGCAGUGGGGAAUAUUGGACAAUGGGCGAAGGCCUGAUCCAGCAAUGCCGCGUGAGUGAUGAAGGCCUUAGGGUUGUAAAGCUCUUUUACCCGGGAUGAUAAUGACAGUACCGGGAAAAUAAGCCCCGGCUAACUCCGUGCCAGCCGCCGCAGUAACAC
rnacentral:rRNA from 1 species